UACGUAGGGUGCAAGCGUUGUCCGGAAUUAUUGGGCGUAAAGAGCUCGUAGGCGGUCUGUCGCGUCUGCUGUGAAAACUCGGGGCUUAACCCCGGGCCUGCAGUGGGUACGGGCAGACUAGAGUGCGGUAGGGGAGACUGGAAUUCCUGGUGUAGCGGUGAAAUGCGCAGAUAUCAGGAGGAGCACCGGUGGCGAAGGCGGGUCUCUGGGCCGUAACUGACGCUGAGGAGCGAAAGCGUGGGGAGCGAACAGG
rnacentral:rRNA from 1 species